UCAGACCCGAAUCUGACAAAUAGAGCUUGCGUUGGAAGCAAGCCUCGGCUGAUAGGGGAGAAGAGCUUACAUAUUAAAAUGAUAUGUAAAUUGACAAAACACGUGGACACGCGGAUCGGUUUCAUUCCAACAGGCGGACAGAAUGUCAACUCCGAGCGCUUUUUUUUUUUUUGGUGGUGGUGUUCUCAGUAACUUAUUUUUUAUUUUAUUUAUAUAUAUAUAUACUACCUCAUUAAAUCGGAUGGGAUGUCGCCAUAUAUGAACCUCCCUAUUUUUCGUUAGUGUUAGGUCGCUUUGAAAAUAUAGGGUGUUUGAUUAGCUGCAGUCUGGUGUUAAUAAUAGAGGCGUUUGGGAGGAUCUGACCCGCCUGAUUCAAGGGGGACCCCUCACGCCCCAAAAUAAGUAAAAGGUCAUAUACUUUACAGGUAUAACUGCUUUAACAAUGUUUUCAAAGGUUCCAUACAGGUUAGAUGGCUUAUUUUUACCUGUCUACAAAUAGACACCAACAGAAAUAAUAUUAGCCCAAUGGGUCACCACAAAAACAGAUAUGCUGCUGGUGCUCUUUCUGUUAGGAUCUCACAAGAUUACUGGCCCAGCUCUUCCCAAAACGCUAACUAACUAGGCCAAGCUGGCCCAGGAGUUGCAGACAGAGCAUUAAAGGAAACUGAAGAACAACAAACUGGACAUUAACCAGUCAGGUUUUAGGAGUGGCCAUUCAACUGAGACUCCCCUACUGUCAGUCAUGGCCUGCAGAUUGCAAAAGCUGAUUCUAAAUCAUCAGUUCUUAUUCUGCUGGAUCCAUCUGCUGCUUUUGACACUGUCAGUCAACAGAUCUUCCUUUCUGUCCUCUCAUCACUGAG